UUGACAUGACACGCAGCUCUGUGGCAAGAGUUCCUCGAUCUUUUUCGACCUGGCAGGCCAGAUCUCCCACCUCUAUUCAAAUCCAUAUUUUACAACGUAGGGAUGUCAUCGAUUACUAAGCUGCAUAUUCGUUCCUGAUCCAGACUGAAACGUUUACUAUCUGGCCUCCAGCAACAGAAGCGGACUCGUGAAAGAAACAGCUGUGUGAACUGCCGGGAAUCAACAACCAAAACAUUUACCUUGGGCGGGAUCUUAUUCGAGAGGAGUCGAAAGACAGCAGUACACAGACACCUCUACUGGUGUAGCUGGAAAGAAGAGAGAGGAUGGUACCGAUUCGCAGCUAUCAAUUUCAAAUGAACGCCGUUUAAGAAAGCUAAGGAAUCUGACUGCAAAAUGAUUUAUUAUCGAAUUAUUCAGCCUACAAGUCUGCUGAACACAAUAACAAAUUAUGUAGAAUGGAAUGUAUAUGGAAUCUUAACGCUGCCCAAGCCCAAGAAAAUAUAUAUUAGUUAUAUUUAGUCUUUAUAUGCCUAUCAUUAUUCUUCAGCAACACAUCCCUUUUUUCUAUGACACCAUAAUUCGACUUAAAUAGAAAUAAUAUUUUACCACAGGAUGAGUGACUGUAAUCAAUAUUAUUUGUAUUAUUUUAUUAUGUCGAGUCUUAAAUUAAUACUGUAAGUCACCACACGGGAAAUAUUUUUAUAAAAACUUCCGUGAUUAUAUUCCACUCUUAAAAUAUUUGAUAAAUACUGAGAAGUCGCGAGCUAGCCAGAGGGUGUUACUCUGUUUAACCACAAGAAAUUAAUCGCUCUUGGCUUCCCUUGAGACAACAAGAGAUUACAACAAAUUCUGAAAGAGCACAGUUGUCUUUUUAAGAGGGAAAGAAGAAGAAAUCAUUUUAGAAACAGCAUUUCGACUUCACAAAGAAUUCAAUAAGAGCUAAAACCCUCAUCGUUAUAUAAAUAUAGUAUAGGCACUUCAAGUAAAAGCAAAGUCACACUUCGUUCAGGCACGAGGUAUCUAUAUAUUUCAGCUGGUGAAAAUGUAUUGUCGUUUCAUCUGCAAAUCGCCUUGAAAAACAUAAGACCACGAAUAAAAAUGGAGUGUCAUCUAUGACACAAUUAAAAAAAAAUUAGGUCGAUAGAAAAUACAUCAGUGUAGUCUCAAAAAAAGGUCCGAUCGGUUUCAUCAAGCUGCCAAAAGACACUUUAAAAAGGCAAUUUAAAAAAACAGCAUAGCUAUAAAAUAUAUUUUAAUUGAAGGCAGGAUUCGCCUUGUUCCUUGUGACCUUAUUUGUGAACUUCUGAAGGAUUUUCACCGCCUACAAUAAAAAAUGAAUGCUAUCUCAGCACGCAGAAGUCUUACUGUCCUGUUUCUUAUAACAGAAGUGUUCACUGCAUGAAUAGACAAUUGCCUUAGAAAAACAACUACCUUAAACAAAAUGGAUGGUUUCCAAUGCGAAUUACAAAAUGCAUUUUGAACGACAAAAUGCAUUUCCCUCUCUAACAUUUCACGAUAGGCGUUUUAUUUUUAUUUAAAAAAAAAACAUGUUCGGUUUAAUCUGAAGCCACAGUUUUGUGGUUUGUGGCAAAUAGCUUGGAAUUGAUAUUUCAAUAUUACAAGGUCACUUGCAAACGGUGAAUUGCGCUUUUAUACAAUGAAUAUAUCAUUGUAGACUAGUCUGAUGUUACAUAAGAUUAUAAAAGCGUUUGCAUAUGAAAAGUCCCUGCUCUUUUCUCUUUGCAAUGAAAAUAAUAUUAUAGAUUAUAAGGAUGAUUUGAGCACAUUGGAGGUUCAUAUUUUCACCGUAAACUGAAAGACAGACACACACAUGCGUAAGGCCGACGUAACGUAACAUCGUAUCCACACCACUAAACUCUUUCUUUCUUCCAGUCUGCCUCUUUAAAAUACAUGUAAUAACAUUAAAUAGACAUACGAAAUGUCAGCUGUAUAUACCAGUAGCAUUUGAAUAAUAAAAUAUUUAUAAAAUAAUUUAAUUAAUAAAGUUACGAUCAGAUGUAAUAUUAAAAAGGGAAAUGUUUACAUUCAUAAAGACAUUUAUAUAUUUUUUUAAAAUGUCAUUUUUGUAUUCUUUUCUACCGUAGAGAGGUAAUUUCUUAACUAAAUGGCGACCUCGUCAUAACAUGAAGGUACUGCAGCCUGUAAACUGUUCGUUCAUACAUUUGAACUGUACUAUAGUACAUCUACGUAGGUAUACAUUUUACGUCGCCUUACAAUUACAUUCAACGAUAGGCUUAUGCAAAUAUAUGACCAAAGCACUGUCUUCAUCUAAAAUGCAUCAAUACAUUUGUAUCUUGUAAAUUCACAGUAAAUUGACCUUCGUGUUAUUCUGAAUGUUAUUUUAGCUGUAUUAGACUAUUUACAACAAUAACUAUCAAAAUCAAAUAAAGAAAAAAGCGAUAUAAAUGACAGAGAGAAUCAGCAGUAGUCGCGCAAGGCCAGUUAGACAGGUUUCAUUCCCGUGCCUCUUAGAAGUCAUGCUGAUUAUUAAUCCUUACGGGUAAAUAUAUCGGAAUAAAUGCCAACUGACCAAAGAUAGUAUUAAUGGUUUUGUUACCCACGAGGGAGCCGUGCUAUGUGAGAUUCUGGCAGUGAUUAAAUUUUCCAGAUAAAAAAGUGAAUUUUGCUGUCCGACCGCCUGUAUAAAUAUUGAAAAAUGUCAGAUUCUUGUAAGUGGGUGCUUAAAUGUACACUAUACAUUAGUAAAAUAAAGAUAAGUGUUUCUUUAUACUUCCCAAAGUUCAAUUAUUCAGCUGUUUCUUGUGUAUGCGUGUGUUUAUAAUCUGUUUUAGUCAUUUUAGUCAUUUUAUUUUAUUGAACAAGUUUGACUAUUUGUAUAUUACAAUUGUAUUAGUAAGGUUUUCAGCUAUAUGGGUUUUCCUGUUUUUUUCAUGGAAUGUGUAUUAUUACGGUAACCAGUUUAUUCGAAGCUUAGCCUUUCCAAGACAAGUUAAUACAUAGUAUUUUGAAUUUAAUUGAAUUUUCAUUUGCUGAGUCUGCUGGAAAUGAUAUAAAACGUAAAUACUGUUUAGAAAUAUUUCGCAUUUCGAUUUUUAGUGAAAGGAAAUAAAAUUGUCAUACGUUCACUUAAAAUGUGUCCCGUCGUCGUUCGCAACAAAAAUAAAGAUAGUCGAAGUACAGUAGCUGAAUAUUCCAAAGCAAUUCUUCUUAAAUUAAUUUAUGUCAAGGCUGUCGUGCUAAUUAGCUAAACAAAUAGUACAGUUAGUAACUAUACUAAUUGGUACUAGAACAAUCGUUUUUGUUUCUCCUGGGGAAUGUUUAUUUUUAUUUUAUAAAACCAUUUCUAAGAACACAAAGUAAUAUAUUUUACAGUUUUUGUUUUCUGGUCUGAAAUUUGUUUUUGAUACGUAAUACGUUUACAGACUACGUUAUGAUUUUUUUUAGAAAACAUACACAUUUACCUUUUAGCUCGAAAGUCACAAACACAAAUUAAAGCUUUAUACAUAUCCACCUAACAUAAAUACAGAGCAGUAUAACAUCAUAAUUAGGCUGAGUAUUUGUAUUGUUGGAAGUUAACUGAAAACUGUACGCAGUCUCAGAAAAGAAGAUUAAUCUUGUGGCCAGGUGCUUUAAUAUUUCAUCUUCUGUAAUUCAGAUAAUUUCGUCACAUUAGGAUAUGCAUAAUGCAAAACUAAACUCGUACAUUAGGUGGAAAUACCGCUUUUGAGCAAUUAUCAUUGUAAACGUACUUGGAAUCAUUAGUUGAAAUAGUGGGCCUCUACAAUUUAUUGAGAUGAAAAUCGGUUCAAUAAUCUCAGUCGGUAAAGCGUGUGGUAUUUACCUAUUAUCACGGAGUAGUUUAAAUCGGUGUGUUUCACCUUAAAAGAACACAGAUUAAAACGCAGGACAAUUACUUGAUCUGUUUCUAGAAUUUUGGAGGUUAGUAGUUUGAUUCGAGGGUCUGAUCUUGAAAGAAGACAGAGUACAGGCUUCAACAAUGUGGCUUGGUGGCUUGUUCCAGACUCCCACAACCCUUUGGGUAAAGAAGUGCCUCCCCGUUCUCGAUUUUCUACGCACUUCCACAUUGUUUCUAAAUAAUGUUUCCCUCAAAGACUCGACUUAAUGGGUUAAAACAACCUCCUUUUCAUCGCUAAACAUGGUGUUUGGCACACACGGUCUUACACGCACCACAUAAAUGCCACAUAUCAAACGUCGUUGGCGGAAUUUGCUUUCGAAUUUUGUUUUGCUGGUUGUCCUAACUCUUCUAAAAAAAAUGAAAUGCGCGAGUGUACGCUUAGCCUUCCUCGUUCCUGUAUUCGGUGACUAAACAACUUAAUCAGUGCAAGCGCUCCCUUUGUCUGCCUCCUUUAUUUCAGAAUUUGUCUGGAGAAGUAUUUGUAAUACAAAAUUGUGUAAAGCGUCACAAAGCAAUAACAACCUAAUUGUAUUACUAUUUCUGUUUUGUGCAGCAAGUGUUCAGCCGAAAAAUAAAUAAAGACAUGUCUGGUGAACUAA